rnacentral:rRNA from 1 species
AGCCCGCUCAAGAAACUCAAGGAAUUGACGGGGGCCCGCGACAAGCGGUGAGCAUGUGGUUUAAUCGAAGCAACGCGAAGACCUUACCAGGCCUUGACAUGCAGAGAACUUUCCAGAGAUGGAUUGGUGCCUUCGGGAACUCUGACACAGGUGCUGCAUGGCUGUCGUCAGCUCGUGUCGUGAGAUGUUGGGUUAAGUCCCGUAACGAGCGCAACCCUUGUCCUUAGUUACCAGCACGUUAUGGUGGGCACUCUAAGGAGACUGCCGGUGUUAAACCGGAGGAAGGUGGGGAUGACGUCAAGUCCUCAUGGCCUUUAUGACCAGGGCUACACACGUACUACAAUGGCCGAUACAAAGGGCAGCGACACUGCGAGGUGAAGCCAAUCCCGUAAAAUCGGUCUCAGUCCGGAUUGGAGUCUGCAACUCGACUCCAUGAAGUUGGAAUCGCUAGUAAUCGUGGAUCAGCAUGCCACGGUGAAUACGUUCCCGGGCCUU